GAUGAACGCUGGCGGCGUGCCUAAUACAUGCAAGUCGAGCGAACGGACGAGAAGCUUGCUUCUCUGAUGUUAGCGGCGGGCGGGUGAGUAACACGUGGAUAACCUACCUAUAAGACUGGGGUAACUUCGGGAAACCGGAGCUAAUACCGGAUGAUAUUUUGAACCGCAUGGUUCAAAAGUGAAAGACGGUCUUGCUGUCACUUAUAGAUGGAUCCGCGCUGCAUUAGCUAGUUGGUAAGGUAACGGCUUACCAAGGCAACGAUGCAUAGCCGACCUGAGAGGGUGAUCGGCCACACUGGAACUGAGACACGGUCCAGACUCCUACGGGAGGCAGCAGUAGGGAAUCUUCCGCAAUGGGCGAAAGCCUGACGGAGCAACGCCGCGUGAGUGAUGAAGGUCUUCGGAUCGUAAAACUCUGUUAUUAGGGAAGAACAUAUGUGUAAGUAACUGUGCACAUCUUGACGGUACCUAAUCAGAAAGCCACGGCUAACUACGUG
rnacentral:rRNA from 1 species